AAAGUUGUUGCAGUUAAAAAGCUCGUAGUUGAACCUUGCGCUUGUUUGGCCGGUCCAUCUUUUUGAUGCGCACUGGACCCAACCGAGCCUUUCCUUCUGGCUAGUUCUUGUCGCGAAUCUUUUCUUUUACUUUGAAAAAAUUAGAGUGUUCAAAGCAGGCCUUUGCUCGAAUAUAUUAGCAUGGAAUAAUAGAAUAGGACGUUAUGGUUCUAUUUUGUUGGUUUCUAGGACCAUCGUAAUGAUUAAUAGGGACGGUCGGGGGUAUCAGUAUUCAGUAGUCAGAGGUGAAAUUCUUGGAUUUACUGAAGACUAACUACUGCGAAAGCAUUUACCAAAGACGUUUUCAUUAAUCAAGAACGAAUGUUAGGGGAUCGAAGAUGAUCAGAUACCGUCGUAGUCUUAACCAUAAACUAUGCCGACUAGGGAUCGGUUGUCGUUCUUUUAUUGACGCAAUCGGCACCUUACGAGAAAUCAAAGUCUUUGGGUUCUG
rnacentral:ncRNA from 1 species